rnacentral:tRNA from 1 species
CGGGGUAUGGUGUAGUGGUAGCACACAUGCUUUGGGAGCAUGUAGCCCCAGUUCAAAUCUGGGUAUCCCGA